rnacentral:rRNA from 1 species
UACGGAGGGUGCAAGCGUUGUUCGGAAUGACUGGGCGUAAAGAGCGCGUAGGUGGGCUCGUAUGUCAUCUGUGAAAGCCCCGGGCUUAACCUGGGAAUUGCAGGUGAAACUGCGAGUCUUGAAUACUGGAGGGGACGGUGGAAUUCCUGGUGUAGAAGUGAAAUUCAUAGAUAUCAGGAGGAACACCUGAGGCGAAGGCGGCCGUCUGGCCAUGUAUUGACGCUGUGGCGCGAAAGCGUGGGUAGCAAAC